rnacentral:rRNA from 1 species
UACAGAGGGGGCAAGCGUUGUUCGGAAUUACUGGGCGUAAAGCGCACGUAGGCGGAUCGAUCAGUCAGGGGUGAAAUCCCAGGGCUCAACCCUGGAACUGCCUUUGAUACUGUCGAUCUGGAGUAUGGAAGAGGUGAGUGGAAUUCCGAGUGUAGAGGUGAAAUUCGUAGAUAUUCGGAGGAACACCAGUGGCGAAGGCGGCUCACUGGUCCAUUACUGACGCUGAGGUGCGAAAGCGUGGGGAGCAAACAGG